rnacentral:rRNA from 1 species
UACGUAGGGUGCAAGCGUUGUCCGGAAUCAUUGGGCGUAAAGAGCGUGUAGGCGGCCUGAUCAGUCCGCUGUAAAAGUCCAGGGCUCAACCCUGGAAGGCCGGUGGAUACUGUCAGGCUAGAGUCCGGAAGAGGCGAGUGGAAUUCCUGGUGUAGCGGUGAAAUGCGCAGAUAUCAGGAGGAACACCAAUGGCGAAGGCAGCUCGCUGGGACGGUACUGACGCUGAGACGCGAAAGCUAGGGGAGCAAACAGG